rnacentral:lncRNA from 10 species
ACCUGCUGUCCUUGACAGCAGCUCCGACGGCACCUCUGUGGCUCUGCAGGAGCCGCCUCCCCGCCUCGUGGGCACACAGAAUCGACAUCUAGAGGAGUACUCACCACUUAAUUGAUGAUCAAUACACGUUCCUUGAAAGAACCGAUAGCAUGCGAUCGAUACAGAGCAUCUGCACUGGGAUUGUCCGCCCCGCCUGUCAGGGAGGCCUCGGGGGCUAAUGGAGCUGAGGACCUUGCACUUGCUGAAUUAGCUGGGACCAUCCAGAUGGAUAAACUGGCUCAUCUGAUCUUGUGGCCCGCACUCAGCAACCGGCUCAGGCCAAGAGGACAGCUUUGAUCCAUACGAUUUCAUCUCUGAUCUGACCCCUCAGUGCUCCCAGCUUACUGGCCCCCUACCUACCAAAUUAUCCUUAAAAACUCUGAACUCCAGGGCUGGGCACGGUGGCUCACACCUGUAAUCCCAGGACUCUGGGAGGCCGAGGCAGGCGGAUCACUUGAGGUCAGAAGUUCAAGACCAGCCUGGCCAACAUGGCAAAACCCCGUCUCUACUAAAAAUACAAAAAUUAGCCAGGCGUGGUGGUGCACGCCUGUAAUGCCAACUACUUGGGAGCCUGAGGCAGGAGAAUUGCUUGAACCCUGAAGGCGGAGGUUGCAGUGUGCUGAAAUCGCACCACUGCACUCCAGCCUGGGCAACAGAGCAAGACUCCAUCUCAAAAACAACAGCAAAAACUCUGAACUCCGAAUUCUUGGGGAAAUUGAUUUGAGUAAUAAUAAAACUCUGGUCUCCCGCACAGCCAGCUCUGUGUGGAUUAUUCUUUCUCUAUGCAGUUCACCUGUUUGGAUAAAUCAGCUCUGUGUAGGCAACAUGAACCUGAUUGGCAGUUACAGUAGCCUGUAAUCCCAGCUACGUGGGAGGCUGAGGCAGGAGAAUUGCCUGAACCUGGG